rnacentral:rRNA from 1 species
GACGAACGCUGGCGGCGUGCUUAACACAUGCAAGUCGAACGGAAAGGCUCCAGCUUGCUGGAGUCCUCGAGUGGCGAACGGGUGAGUAACACGUGGGUAAUCUGCCCUGCACUCUGGGAUAAGCCUGGGAAACUGGGUCUAAUACUGGAUAUGACCUUUCUCCUUAUGGGGUUUGGUGGAAAGUUUUUCGGUGUAGGAUGAGCCCGCGGCCUAUCAGCUUGUUGGUGGGGUGAUGGCCUACCAAGGCGACGACGGGUAGCCGGCCUGAGGCGGUGAACGGCCACAUCGGGACUGAGAUACGGCACAGACUCCUACGGGAGGCAGCAGUGGGGAAUAUUGCACACUGGGCGGAAGCCUGAUGCAGCGACGCCGCGUGAGGGAUGACGGCCUUCGGGUUGUAACCCUAUUUCAGCAGGGAAGAAGCGUAAGUGACGGUACCUGCAGAAGAAGCACCGGCUAACUAUGUG